rnacentral:misc_RNA from 1 species
AUCUCAAUAUAAAUAUUUGAUCUGACAGUUAUUAAGCUUAUUCUGAUAUAAUGUCGAGUUUAUAUUAGAUACACUCCAUAAGAAAAUCUAGCAUGGGUAGGCAGAAAAAAUAGAGGGAAAACAUGAAAGAAUCACCCAAUUCAAGUUUACAAAUAGCAAAAUCAGAACAGGGAAAUUAUGUAGGGGCAGGCAUAAAACUGUUGUUCAAUUACAAGAGAAAUAUCAUGUAGUUCAAAAAAACAAUGAUAAUACAACUAUCAGGAACAGUUCAAACUAUUGUUGAAUUACUCCAUUUAAAUAAACAUCAAAAAUUGAAUAGCUGGAGGAACUGUCAAAGGUCCCAAGAGAUUGAAACUCUCUUCAUAUUGGUGUGAUUACAUCAUCUUGAAAAUAUCACCCAACAUCCCUUGCAGGGGAUUUCUACGUUUUACUCCAUAGAACUUUUCUGCAGUUUCAUCAAGCAACUCAUUAAAUACAGGUUCCUUGUCUAUACUUGACUUGUAACUCACUCUCAACAUAUUAAAAAGAGGCAAAGAAUCUCUCUGCAUCGUUGGCAAAAGAUAGUUGAUAUAUCGCAUCAAAUCCGAUUUCGGAAGCUCAAUCUUCUUAGAUUCCACUUGUUUCUUUAUCUCAUCCAACAAACAAUUAGCAUCUCUCAGAUUACCCAUAGCCAAAUACAGUAAAACUGCCCGUGCAAUUGCCAGAUCAUCUUCACCAGGAUAACACUUGCCCAUAAAAUUGACUAUAGUAGACGCAAACUUCUUGGGGUCAUCGCCUCGAACAAAAUGAUAUGAUAUUCUAGCCAUGUCCAACUCGGGAGAUUCAGAAAAUAGAUAUUCAGCUAGCAUAGCAUGCAGUUGUGGGGAUCCAUUCUUAUGAGCUCCAAACUCUGCAGACCACCUAAUAGCAGCUUUUAAGAAAGAGGAGCAGCAUUCUACUCGUGUUUUUGCUGCACCAAUGGCUUCAGUGAGUUGCUGCACAUCAUCAUCAUCCCCCAAGUCCCCCAAGUGUUGUGGCAGAGGAAUUUGAGGAAACAUCUUGUAGAUUUUCCUAACGCCAUCUUGUUUUUGAAUUGUAGAAGAUUGCUCUCAUGUAAAGAAAGUUUGAAAUCAACUCCCAUUCCAUUGAAAUCAGCACAUUUAACCUAUGCAUAGUUGCCUCAACUUCUUUUUAGGUUCAAAUCCUGAUAAAUAGAUGUUAAAAGGUAAUGAUGACUGAUGAGCCAUCUCAACCAAGGCACUGGCAAGGACAGCCAAAGAAAUUUUCACUACAAUACGGUAGUCUUUGAUAUGCUUUUUCUCCUCUUAAUAAGUCCCUCCAUCAACUUAAUAUAGGUAGAUUUAUGUAAAGUAAUGCCCUUCUGUGUCGAUUCUUGAAAAGUUUGCAUUGCAUCCUUGUAUUUCCCUUGAGUACACAACUCAUUAAUCUUUUCUGAAAAGGUAAUGGAAUUAGGAUCAGAUUCUUCAGGAGUCUCACUGGCCCUCAUUUGUUGCCCUUUUUUCAAUGGUAAUGUUUGAUCUUGCAAUUUUCCCAUUUCCACAAUUUUUGACGCGAACUCCUCAGCCUCUUUAAUCCUACCUGCAUUAGCAAGUCCACCAAUAAUUGCAUUAUAUGUGUAGCAAUCUGGCCCUAGCUUCUUCUCCUCCAUUUCAGCAAGAAGAUCAAAUGCUUCCUCAAAUCUGCCAUUUUUGCAAAGGCUUGCUAUUAUUGUGUUGUAUGUAACUGCAUCAAGAGCUUUUCCUUUUGAAAUCCAUGUGUUGAAGAGCUUAAGAGCCUUUUCGAGCAUGCCUUCUCUACAAAGCCCAUGAAGAAGAAUGUUACAUGUAAAAACAUCAGGCUUAAAAGAAUUAUCAAUCAUCUUGUUGUGAAACUGAAAUGCUUUCUCAACUUGUCCCUCCCGGCAGUAUCCGUGAAUAAUUGUAUUAUAUGUUGUCUCAUCCGGGACCAGGCCACUCUCCAGAAGCUCAUUCAACUUGUCUAUUGCUUGAUCAGUUUUUUCUGAUUGGCAUAACCCUCCAAUCAUAGAGUUAUAGGUGAUAAUACCUGGAAUAAUCUCUUUCUCCUUCAUCUCAUCCCAUAGUUUUAAUGCUUUAUCUGGCUUUUCAUCUUUAAAAUAUCCCAUGAUCAAAGUGCCAUAGCUGACCUCAUCAACAAAAUAGCCUCGCUUACUAGCAGUGUUGAGCAACUUAUAUGCCUCAUCAAGUUUCUUCUCCCCACAAAGAGCAUGAAGAAUUGUAUUAAGAGUCACACUAUUCAUCUUCAAACCUUUCCUUCCCAUUUCAUUCAUCAUCCUGAUUGCUUCACCCAGCUUCCCCACUUUACAAUGCACACUUAUCAAAGUAUUAUAUGUAACACUAUUUGGUGAAAAUCCAGAUUCUUCCAUUGCCCUAAUGAUUUUCCCUGCAUCAUCCAUACUCCCUUCAUUCGCAUACCACUUAACCAAUAUGUUGUAUGUAGCUGCUUCCAGCUUCACUCCCUUCUGCUCCAUCUCUUCAAUUAAUCCAAAUGCCUUUGGGCUAUUAUUGCACUCAAAGCAUCCAUUAAUCAAUGUAUUAUAUGUAACAACAUCAGGAAACAACUUUAAAUUCUCCAUCUCAUCUCUUAGUCUUAAUGCCUCAUCAAUCCUACCUACUUUACAUAACCCACCAAUCAACAUAUUGUAAGUCCAAACAUCUGGAAACACAUUAUUCUGCGUCAUUAAUUCAAUUACUUGUGCCGCCUCCUUCAACCACCCCAACUUGCAAUACCCAGAAAUUAAAAUAUUAUAAGUAUUUCUAUUCGGAAACAACCCGUUAUUUUUCAUAUCCAACAACAAAUCCCUAGCCUCAUUCAACUUGCCUUUCUUACACAAAACAUCCAAAAUCGUAUUGUAAGUGACAUUAUCUGGCGAACAACCAAACUCUGCCAUUUUACCAAUAAGCCCAAUUGCCUCCCCUAAUUUGUUCUCCAAGCAACACCCAUAAAUCAAAAUGUUAAAAGUAUUGGUAUUAACCUGAGCACCGAGCUUAAUCACGUCGCUAAAAAUGGCUUUAGACAAAUAAACAGAAUGGGAAGAAGGGUACCUGACCAAAGCAUUGAGAAGAGUAUUAGAAGUAAGCAGAUUAGGCUUGAGACGCAACCUCUUCAUCUUGCUAAAAAUCUGGGCAGCAUGGUGGGGCCUACCAGAGCCUACGUAGGCACCAAUGGAAGUAUCGAGAAGGGCCCUCAAGGUGCGAGUAUGCUCAACCCCAGCAGGAGGAUGAAGGAUGUGACGGUGGAGCACGUUGGUCUUGUCAGCGGCGAUGAAGGAGGUGAGAAGGGACUUGGCGUCGGAGAAUUUGUGGUGGGAAAGUAGAGGAGGGAGGAGAGAAAGGAGAGGAAGUGGUGAUUGGGAAAUGGAGGGAGGAAGGUGGGUUUGAGCCCAUUUGAAGAAGGAGAGAAGAGUGGUGGGUCUGUGAGAUAGGGCUUUGGAAGAGAGAAGAGAGACGAUGAGAUUAGGGCUUGAGGAAAGGUGGGGAAUGUAAGGAUUGAGAUUUUGGAGUGGGACUUUCUCUGAAGUUAGGAUGUUUGUUAGGGUUUCUAGUACCUGCGAUUCUGUUAGGGAUUGUGGAUUUGGGAUAUUUUCUGGUCUUCCUUCCAUUGUUGUCGUCCCCUUCUCUCUGUCUCUCAGGAAUUAGGGUUUUGGGAAGAUGGAGAUUUUGAAGAAGC